UACAGAGGGGGCAAGCGUUGUUCGGAAUUACUGGGCGUAAAGGGCGCGUAGGCGGCCUUCUAAGUCGAACGUGAAAUCCCCCGGGCUCAACCCGGGAACUGCGUCCGAUACUGGAAGGCUUGAAUCCGGGAGAGGGAUGCGGAAUUCCAGGUGUAGCGGUGAAAUGCGUAGAUAUCUGGAGGAACACCGGUGGCGAAGGCGGCGAUCCUGGACCGGUAUUGACGCUGAGGCGCGAAAGCCAGGGGAGCAAACGGG
rnacentral:rRNA from 1 species